GGGCGCGUUGGGAGGAAGGGAGGGCCCGGCGCGCAGGUGACUCCGUCCGGCCAGGGGCGGGGUUGGGGGGACAGGGAGUGGCCUCUCGUCGCCCCGACGACGCUCCCCGCCCAGCCCGGGCCGCCCGACCGGGACGUGGGCAGGGCACCCCGUGCUAAGGACUCAGCAGGUCCCACUCGCCGAACCCCGCUGGUUACCUGAGUAAUCGACGUUUGUCCUUAUCACAUACCUGAGAAGGAAGACUGCUUGUCCCCAUCUCGCUAAGAGAAAACCGACGGACUUUCAGAGAGGUUACCCCCCCGCUUGCCCAAAGGCACACAGUAAGAAGAGAGGAAUUUCCUAGCAAAUAAAGAAAUGGAGGCCCAAGGAGCUGAAAUCCUUUCCUAACAUUUUCUUCUGGGAGGCUCUCCCCCUUUAGGAAUGAGGCUAUGGUAAGGGGGUCACAACAAAAGACCCAACUGCUCUGUGAAUAUUUAUUUCCAUGGAAUUUGCGAGUCUGACGUCAGCUCAAUUGGCAAGUGGAGCCGUGUCUCUGGUGGCUCCAAAUCGGGAGGAGAAGCUUGAAAAAGACGACCCUGGGCCCAGUGGAGAGCCCAGAGAGCCGGCCACAGCCGAGGUAAGAGGAAGCGCUGCACAGACCUCCAUGGGCGCGACCCGCGCUCUGCCUGCAGCUAAGGAACCGUGUUGGGGCCACGCAGAGGCUUUGAAGAGUAUAAAGGAUGGGGUUGGGGUUUGUGUCGUCCCAUGGCUUUUGCCCAUGUCAUUAGAAUCAGAUCCAUAAAGUACGGUAAUUUGAGUUUUAACAGUUCUUAGCAGCUGGUUCAGAGAGGAACCAAAUUUCCCUGGAGGGUUUCUAAGCUUGAGGGCUCCCUGAGCAGGUUGAGAUGAGUGAGUUUCCUUGCUCUGUGAGAGCUGAGGCCUUACAGUGAGUUUCCCCCAGAACUGGGGUGUAGGAGCCUCGUGAAGCAGAAGGCCCAGACGUGACUGGGUGGGAAGCUCCUCCCUGCUGGGGAGGGUGGGAGGAGAAUGGUGGGAACCGUCCGUGCAGUACGGCAAGGCACAAGGGGUCUCUUUGGAAUGGAUGCAUUUUCCUUACAAACUCCAGCUUGCUCGGUGAGCAUUCCUGCUGAGAAUCCUCCUUCCUUUUCUCCCCAUGCGGAAUUGAGAGAUAGGAGUGAGGGACUCAGGAACAUCCUGAGACCCCAACGGAGACCCCGCUUUUCUGAUGCUGAAGCAACGGUGUCUCCUCGGGCCACCUGUUCCUGAGGGUUGGUGUGGCUGCAUCAGGGAUGACAAAGGAAACAUGCUUCCUUUGGAAGCUCAGAUGGGUUCUUCAACCUCCAGAGAGAAUUAAAGGACCAAAGCCAUCAAGCCUAGGAAUUUUAGGUCUGAUCCGGUUCCAGGCUGGAACUGCUAGGAAAAGAAAUCUCAGGCGGAUCAGGAGGAAACGUUUCCCCUUCAGUGGUGUGUAUUAAUUGCUAACUAAGGAGACUCGUACGACAACUGGACUUCAGGCGUUGUCAUUGUGUCCCUAGAAAGUAAUAUUUAACCUCUAAAAAGUCUGUAAUGCUGUGAAUUCCAUUUAAAAUAUGUGACUCUGGCCAUAUGUUUUAAAUCAGCAUCUCUGUUUUCUGAAUCACAUAGGGACCCAUGAGUUUUCUUUGCUAAUGUAGCAAAGAAUCGUGGACAUAUUCUUCU